GCACAAUGUCUUUGUGCACCAAAUACCAGCGAGAUGGCACCGUGUAGAAAAGUCCAAACAGUGUCUGUGAGUUAAAAUGGCCGCCAUCCAUUGUUCUCACCAUGUGCUUCAUCCAUUGUUCUCACCAUGUGCCUCUGAUACAUGAAAUGGUGGCCACCCAGUAACUCCACAGUUUGUCUGGUAGUCUAUCCAGCCAGACCAACAGAUGAAACACAUGGGGAACAGUGCAACAAACGAAGGGAAUCAUAAAAAAUAUGGACAAUAGUCAUAUUUGUGCACAAUCUCCAGUUUUGUCACAGGGCACAAAUAGUGUUUUCAGAUGCCAUAUAUCCCAGG
rnacentral:lncRNA from 1 species